rnacentral:lncRNA from 1 species
GAGUCUGAUCACUCAUUACCACAUCAACAGGUAUGCCUGCAUCAAAAUUGUAUUACCAAAGUCAGUUGCUGACACACAAAAGCCGGUAGUAUGUCUGGAUGUAGGAGAACACAUGACCUUCCACAACUGGUGUGUGUCGUUGCUGGGUGAUAGCAGACUGCGCACUGGGCAUCCCCACAGUGUCAAAACCUGUCGAAAGGGACUUUUAAUUAACAUGUCUUUAGAUGUGAUUAAUGAAAUGUAUGAUAAAGAACAAAGAAAAUUGAGUAACCAGGCGACAUGGCCACGGGUGGCUUAGAUGGAGUGUUGGUUCCAUUUAAAAUAGCGGACAUAGCUUUCUUACGAUCCCUUGCCUCCUUUCUUUUUUUCAAUAUUGCAUCCCUGUUUAGUGCAUACCUCUCCCUUUCCCUCUGUCUCUUUAGUUCUUUUGGAUCUGUUUUUUGACCUGCGAGGCAAUGACAUAGUCGGUACUUACAUGAUCUUAGCAGCCAGGAGUAGGUGAUAUAUGUAUUUACCUGAACUGUCGUUGUUCGUCAGGUCCUGAAAGGGAGUACGUACCCCACUACGCUGAGAUCCGGACAUACUGUCUUCUCAAUGGCUCCUGUUCUGAAACACUUCACGAACCCUGCCUGAACUCAGUGUGCUAUGCAAAUUAUGAUGUACUGUAAGUAUAAAAUUACACGUUGUCAGAUUAAAAGAGCAAUUCCUUUUGUCUUAUGUCUGACCAAAAGACGUGCAAAUUCAGUUGAUCUAACCUGUGCACUGGCAGGUUCGGCAGUAGUCAUAUGUACUGGAGACGUUGCUGGCUACAGGGGUGAUGACACCGGAGGUAAGGCAGUGCGCCGGGUCGAGGACGUCGCUGACACCGGGGGCGAGGGCGGCGUCGUGACGACGGCGUAUUGAGGAGAGUUAGGGCUGCAAGGCGGGUCGAGGACGUCGCGGAGACCAGGGGCGAGGGUCGCGUGCC